AGCCAGGUGUUUGUAUACUUGGUUACUUCUGCUCAGUGGUAAGCUAAAUAGCCGCAGUACCCUGACUGUGCAAAGGUAGCAUAAUCAUUUGGCUUAUAAUUGAAGUCUGGCAUGAACGAAAUUAUGGGUAGCAACUGUCUUCUAUAGAUCAUUAGAAUUUACUAAGUAGGUGAAAAUUCCUACGGAUUAAUAAUAGACGAGAAGACCCUAGAAAUUUUAUAUAAAAGUAUUUUAUUUAACUUACUAUUUUGUUGGGGCGACAGAAUAACAGUUGAACUUAUUUUAAUAAAUUUGUACUAAUUUUUGAGAGAAAUUAAAUUACUCUAGGGAUAACAGCAUAAUUUAUUAAAGUUUGUGACCUCGAUGUUGGACUAGGGUUUUUAAUAAUCAGAAGUUAUUAAAUUAGGCUCUGUUCGAGCUUUAUUCCCU
rnacentral:rRNA from 1 species